GAGUCCGCCCCCCAUUAGCUAGUUGGCGGGAUAAUAGCCCACCAAGGCAACGAUGGGUAGCCGAGCUGAGAGGUUGAUCGGCCACACUGGGACUGAGAUACGGCCCAGACACCUACGGGUGGCAGCAGUAGGGAAUAUUGGACAAUGGGCGAAAGCCUGAUCCAGCCAUGCCGCGUGAGUGAUGAAGGCCUUCGGGUCGUAAAACUCUUUUCUGAGGGAAGUGACGGUACCUCAGGAAUAAGCAACGGCUAACUCCGUGCCAGCAGCCGCGGUAAUACGGAGGUUGCGAGCGUUGUUCGGAUUAACUGGGCGUAAAGGGAGCGCAGGUGGUUUGGUUAGUCUAAAGUGAAAGCCCGGGGCUUAACCUCGGAAGUGCUUUGUAUACUGCCAAACUUGAGUUCGUGAUAGGAAAGCGGAAUUCCAGGUGUAGCGGUGAAAUGCGUAGAU
rnacentral:rRNA from 1 species